rnacentral:rRNA from 1 species
GACGAACGCUGGCGGCGUGCCUAAUACAUGCGAGUCGAGCGCAGGAAACUGACGGAACUCUUCGGAGGGAAGGCAGUGGAAUGAGCGGCGGACGGGUGAGUAACACGUAAGGAACCUGCCUCAAGGAUUGGGAUAACUCCGAGAAAUCGGAGCUAAUACCGGAUAGUUCAACGGACCGCAUGGUCCGCUGAUGAAAGGCGCUCCGGCGUCACCUUGAGAUGGCCUUGCGGUGCAUUAGCUAGUUGGUGGGGUAACGGCCCACCAAGGCGACGAUGCAUAGCCGGCCUGAGAGGGUGAUCGGCCACACUGGGACUGAGACACGGCCCAGACUCCUACGGGAGGCAGCAGUAGGGAAUCUUCCACAAUGGACGAAAGUCUGGUGGAGCAACGCCGCGUGAGUGAUGAAGGUUUUCGGAUCGUAAAACUCUGUUGUAAGGGAAGAACACGUACGAGAGGAAAUGCUCGUACCUUGACGGUACCUUACGAGAAAGCCACGGCUAACUACGUGCCAGCCGCCGCGGUAA